CACGUAGGCACCAAGCGUUGUCCGGAUUUAUUGGGCGUAAAGAGCUCGUAGGCGGUUCAGUAAGUCAGGUGUGAAAUCUUUGGGCUUAACCCAAAGCGUGCACUUGAUACUGCUGUGACUUGAGUUCGGUAGGGGAGUGGGGAAUUCCUAGUGUAGCGGUGAAAUGCGCAGAUAUUAGGAGGAACACCCAUAGCGAAGGCAGCUUGCUGGGACGUUACUGACGCUAAGGCGCGAAAGCGUGGGGAGCGAACAGG
rnacentral:rRNA from 1 species